GGCGGCGAGUGUCUGGGCGAGCGUGGCUGGGCCCGGUCCUGGGCUGGGGGCAGGGGCUAGGGCCGGGUCCCGGGGUGAGCCGAAACCUGGGGGUCGGGCGGGGCGGGAAAUGGGGCGCAGUGAGGCUGGGAGCCGGCCCUGAGCUCGUCCUGCGUAGGGGUAGCCGGGCUCAGGGGGCGCCUGAGCUGGAGGUGGAAGCGUGAAGUCAGGACUGAGUGGGCGAAGAGAACCUGGGCUGAGCAGACAUGGCCGCUUACCAACAAGAAGGGCAGAUGCAGCUUCCCCGAGCUGAUGCCAUUCGUUCACGUCUCAUCGAUACUUUCUCUCUCAUCGAGCAUUUGCAAGGCUUGAGCCAAGCUGUGCUGCGACACACUAUCAGGAGUUACUUGAUCCUUCCCGCCAGAAGAAACUUAUGUUGGGAGAUCAACACCAGCUAGUGGGCGUCUCUAUAAAGCCUCAACGUAUAGAACAGAUUUCACAUGCCCAGAGGCUGUUGAGCAGGCUUCAUGUGCGCUGCAGUCAGAGGCCACCUCUUUCUUUGUGGGCCGGAUGGGUCCUUGAGUGUCCUCUCUUCAAAAACUU
ensembl:lncRNA CATSPER2P1 CATSPER2 pseudogene 1